AGUACGUGUUCUGAGUGGACACAUAGGAUUACGAGCACGUUUAUGCAAAAUUGGUGGAUCCAGACGUAUGUAGAGCAUGUGGAGGGAACAGUGAAACUCUGGAGCACAUUCUUUGCCACGAAGAUUUUAACUCUAAAACUUUUGAAGAUAAACUGAUAAUAAAUUUUUUCUUUCACUGUAGCCAUCAAUGUUUUCCGUGCAAAAUUUGAGGAUUCAAAUUGUUCCAGUUUCCGAGAUUUACGUCUUUGAAUAGUUAUUUAAUAACGCAUUUUUAAAUAUUUUAUGCUUUUUUGGAAGUUAUUUUCUUAUGGACCAAAUGUGGCGAUUAUUGUUAGUUAUAUGAACGAAAAUGUUACUUUCUAAAAUUGAAAGUAAAUUGGACAAUUUAAUUAAAAAUCAAAAUUUAUGAAAUCAUCAUCCAACGAACGUGUACUAUAAAAUUACAAUAAUUUCGGGUGAGGAUAUGUGUAAUUGCAUUCACAUAUGUUGUUAGAACAUUAUAACGGUUAUGUUCACUUAUUAACGACAUACAUUAUCAAGACUCCUUUAAUUUGCUCAUACUCCAUUUACCACCAACACAAACGAAAGGGUAUUCGAGAUAUUAAUAAACAAUAUUUCAUUCUUAUUUGCAUGUAGUGAACACACAUACAUACGUAUGUAUGUAGACAUUUACACCAUUUUCAAAAUAAACAUUUAUGUUUCAAAAUAACUGUUUUUAAUCUUGAUUUGAAUAAUAGAUUAUUAAUUAAACAAAUUUGCAAAAACAUAUAAAGGGGUUAUUUUCAAGUCAUUAGCAUAUUUUUGCGAACAGUAAAACUAGUCGCAGAUAAUUUUUCGAAUGUAAUCUUUAUUUCUUUAUUUUUUAACGAUUUAUUGACAAUAAACUGAUUUUAUACUUGAGCCUAGGAUAGCAGCAA